GAUGAACGCUGGCGGCGUGCUUAACACAUGCAAGUCGAACGAAGCAUUUAAGACAGAUUACUUCGGUUUGAAGUCUUUUAUGACUGAGUGGCAGACGGGUGAGUAACGCGUGGGUAACCUGCCUCAUACAGGGGGAUAGCAGCUGGAAACGGCUGGUAAUACCGCAUAAGCGCACAGUACCACAUGGUACAGUGUGAAAAACUCCGGUGGUAUGAGAUGGACCCGCGUCUGAUUAGCUUGUUGGCGGGGUAACGGCCCACCAAGGCGACGAUCAGUAGCCGACCUGAGAGGGUGACCGGCCACAUUGGGACUGAGACACGGCCCAGACUCCUACGGGAGGCAGCAGUGGGGAAUAUUGCACAAUGGAGGAAACUCUGAUGCAGCGACGCCGCGUGAGUGAAGAAGUAGUUCGCUAUGUAAAGCUCUAUCAGCAGGGAAGAUAGUGACGGUACCUGACUAAGAAGCUCCGGCUAAAUACGUG
rnacentral:rRNA from 1 species